rnacentral:rRNA from 1 species
GACGAACUGUGCGAACGUUAUUCGGAAUCACUGGGCUUAAAGGGUGCGUAGGCGGCCUCCGAAGUCAGGUGUGAAAUCCCCCGGCUCAACCGGGGACGGGCGCUUGAAACCAGGAGGCUGGAGUGCGGCAGGGGCGCGCGGAACUUCCCGUGGAGCGGUGAAAUGUGUUGAGAUGGGAAGGAACGCCGGUGGCGAAAGCGGCGCGCUGGGUCGUAACUGACGCUGAGGCACGAAAGCCAGGGGAGCGAACGGG